GUAACGAGCGCAACCCUGUCCUUAGUUACCAGCACGUUAUGGUGGGCACUCUAAGGAGACUGCCGGUGACAAACCGGAGGAAGUGGGGAUGACGUCAAGUCAUCAUGGCCCUUACGGCCUGGGCUACACACGUGCUACAAUGGUCGGUACAAAGGGUUGCCAAGCCGCGAGGUGGAGCUAAUCCCAUAAAACCGAUCGUAGUCCGGAUCGCAGUCUGCAACUCGACUGCGUGAAGUCGGAAUCGCUAGUAAUCGUGAAUCAGAAUGUCACGGUGAAUACGUUCCCGGGCCUU
rnacentral:rRNA from 1 species